rnacentral:rRNA from 1 species
CAUAGGUUAAUGAGGCGAACCGGGGGAACUGAAACAUCUAAGUACCCCGAGGAAAAGAAAUCAACCGAGAUUCCCCCAGUAGCGGCGAGCGAACGGGGAGCAGCCCAGAGCCUGAAUCAGUGUGUGUGUUAGUGGAAGCGUCUGGAAAGGCGCGCGAUACAGGGUGACAGCCCCGUACACAAAAAUGCACAUGCUGUGAGCUCGAUGAGUAGGGCGGGACACGUGGUAUCCUGUCUGAAUAUGGGGGGACCAUCCUCCAAGGCUAAAUACUCCUGACUGACCGAUAGUGAACCAGUACCGUGAGGGAAAGGCGAAAAGAACCCCGGCGAGGGGAGUGAAAAAGAACCUGAAACCGUGUACGUACAAGCAGUGGGAGCCUCUUUUAUGGGGUGACUGCGUACCUUUUGUAUAAUGGGUCAGCGACUUAUAUUCUGUAGCAAGGUUAACCGAAUAGGGGAGCCGAAGGGAAACCGAGUCUUAACUGGGCGUUAAGUUGCAGGGUAUAGACCCGAAACCCGGUGAUCUAGCCAUGGGCAGGUUGAAGGUUGGGUAACACUAACUGGAGGACCGAACCGACUAAUGUUGAAAAAUUAGCGGAUGACUUGUGGCUGGGGGUGAAAGGCCAAUCAAACCGGGAGAUAGCUGGUUCUCCCCGAAAGCUAUUUAGGUAGCGCCUCGUGAAUUCAUCUCCGGGGGUAGAGCACUGUUUCGG